UUCUACCUCAGGAUUAGGUUUCGGGGAGCACAAAUGUCUGAAGGAGCUAGGGCACUGGAAGGCCCGGGGACCAUGAAGUGUGAACCAUAGUGGUGAUCUUGCCAUGGUCCAUUCUGGCUAUUUGCUGCUAAGAGCUCUCUGGCAUCUCCAAGGAAUAAAUGUGGCUCCCUUUGUUCUGUUUAGCCUGACAACCUAUCCAAAUUCUCCUGGAGGGCAGGGUCUCAGGGACUGGCAUGUUCCUGGCAGAUGGCUCAGGGAUUGUUGAUGCAAGUGCCUUUGACUGGAAGCUUUAGUCCAUCCACAGAGCUGGGGUAUCCUUGACAUAAGUGGGACUUGUCCUACACUUGGAGUGUACAGGCUAUUGAGGAGAGGGCAGGGUGAAGUGGAGUAGUUGAACUAAAUAGAAGGGAGAGGUUUGAUGGUACAGCCCUUACAGUUGGUGAUGCUGUUGUUGGGAGCUUCUGGGUGACAAUGAAGGGAUGGAAAACAAAAGAGAUGUGGUGAGUGUCUGCUAUCUGUUGCCCAGCCAGGAUGCCAGUGCUGAGAAGUUAAUUUGACAGGGAAUUAUGAUAAAUGUCCAGAUCAGCAGCCUUAUGGCAGAUAAAAUGUGAAGGGUGUCUAGGGCAGUGAGGAAAACAAGUGUGCUACAGGCAGCCAUUGCUUUCCAGGUGCUGAUUUGUGUAAACCAGCUCAUCACUCGCACUGCACCUACCUGCAAAGUGUGAGUAAGCAACAUGACUUGGUAUUAAGUGCUACUAAGAAUUUUCCUUGCAUGGAGAAAGCCUUGUGUGACUAACCACCAUGCAGCUGCUCACUUACAACACCCUACCCCAGUGGCAUGGGGAGGAGAACAUGGGGCUUGGGGGAUAAAGAAAUGUGAAACUUGUUGGUGAACAGUUUAAUAAUUGAACUGGAGUAAAAUAUAAUAGUAGUAUUAGUAAUAGUAAUAAAAUGAGAGAGAGAAAGAACCAAAGAAAAAAAAAAGUAGUGUACAAUAGAAUUGCUCACCUGCUGGCCAAUGCCAAACCCAGAUAGGCCCUCUUCUGGGUAACUCCCCCAGUUUAUAUACUGGGUAUGACAUUCUAUUUUGUGGAACAUACCUUUGACCAGUUCAGGUGCCCUGUCCUGGCUGUGCUCCUCUCCACCUUUUUGUGUACCUCUCCACCUCACUGGCAGAGCAUGAGUCACUGAACAAUCCUUGACUCAGAGUAAGCACUCUUAGCAACAACCAAACCAUCAGUGUGUUACCAGCACCGUUCUCAUACUGAAUCUGAAACACAGUGCUGUAUCUGCUUCUAAAAAAAUUCAAUUAAAAUUCCAGCCAAAAACAGGACAGGGUCUGAGCUGCAUUAAUCAGCUCAGGGUAGGAAAUUAAAUUUAUCAAACCUCUUCCAGAGUUCCCAUGGCAUGAUUUUGUAAGCUUAGGCAAGACUUCAGUUAGCAGUGGUGUUGAAUUUAGCAACCCACAUUACCUUAUCUGGGGCUAUUUGAGUUUCUUUGGAUAUCCUGCUUGUUUUCCAGAUGCCUUUUGAGAAGGUGUCUUAUGUAGCAGACCUAGGGUGUAAAGCCCUGAACUCUCUUGGAGAAACGCAACCUGCUCAGAAGGUUAAACUUUUACAGGAAAACUUCAGAAAAUAAGGGCACCUGGCAAAUUUUAAAACAUGCAGUUGACAUAAAGCAUUUCACAAGGCAUUGACAGCAAACUCUAAUCCAUCCAACUUUUAAGUUACCCAGAUUUCAAGAAGAGGAAGUUAGAAAGGUAGAGGGUGUGUCUUUGUACAACUUUGUCUGCUUUGGCCUGCUGGGACCCUCCCCUUCACAUGGGGCUUCUGGUGUGCCAGUGGCUGAUGAACAUUGUGGAGCUGGACUAGUGGCUCCAGGGAGGUGGGAUAUGGAGAAGUGCGUCAUCCUACAUUUUUGAGAGCUUGCCUUGCCAUCCUGACACACACACACACACACACACACACACACACACACACUUCAGUUGUUUUGAGCAAGCAAUGAUUUUCUCCAGUCUCACACUAGGGUAACUCGAAAUCUCAGAAGCGACAUGACAGCAGAUAAACCCACUAGAGUUAUAUUGCUCUGCAUGCAUCCAGAGGCUGCUCAUGUAGGCAUGGGAUUUUGUUUACAGUUCAUCCUGUCAGAAAUACAUAAUAACCCAGCGUGCUCUGCAUGAGGCUCCUCCUUUAGUACUCACCUACUGUGCAUCAAAUGAGAAUGUUCAUCACAUUGAAGUGAAACUGCAGGGAUGAAGCAAGUUUCUGUCUCCAAACUGGACCGGAAUAUGAAAGGUGGCUGCAGAAAAUGCUGCUGCUGCUGUCAUGCGUACCUAUUGAACAUUUUAUUGGUAGAUGAAUUAUCAGCAGUGUCACAGAUGCUCUGUGGCUCAGUUUUAAGAAGGUUCAAGUGUCAGUUUCCCGCAAGUGGGAGCUGUCUGCAGUUCGACAGGCUUCAUGGCCUUUGCCAUGGAGUGACAGAAGACCUGGAAACAUCCCAAGCUUAGCUAGGUAACCUGCUCAUGUAAGUAUGUUGUCAGUGGUCUCCAGAAGAGGAACUAAAUUAACUAAAGCAAACCUUUUGUAUUACCAAGGGCUGAUGAAAAGUAGAGGAAAAGUCCCCUCUUAGGAUGCUUUGGAAUCCUGAGACCUGAAGAACUUUUUGCCCAAGGUGUGGUGUGACCAACUGCACAUCUAAGAUAAUCUUCAGUCUUGAAGAAUAACAUGUGAACUAAUGUGUGUGGCAAUAAUACCAUUUAUCUUUUGAAAACCUGUAGCCAUUAGAGAUGAGGCAUCCAUCCAGAGUGUUAUGCACAGAACAAGUCACAACUAAAUGACAAUCCACUGUCCAAGGCAUUUAGAUGAACAUCAAGUGCAAUGGGGAAAAGACAUUCAAAGCAUAACUUUUUUUUUAAGAUCAUUCACCUGGUGAGUGUAGCUGGGAGGCUAAGUUUAAUCCUCAGCCAUUUACAUGAGCCAGAUCACACAGCUUCUCCAAAACAGAGGGCUUUGUGCCUUGAAUUCAUAGCAGUUUAUUGUCCAUUAGCUGAAGAGUCAAAAAUGAAUGUAUAUACAUGCAUAUGUAUGUGUAUGGACACCUGCAUGCAUUAUGCUUAUGGGGGGGAGACGGGGGAGAGCAGAGAGCUGACAGAUGCCUUUUGUACCCUGGGAGAGGAGAAAAGGAAAACCAAAUACUGUACAUCUCCUAUUUUAUUUGGAUAUAUGAAAGAAGGAAAAAACUCCAAACCACUGGAUGGACUGGUAUCUUGUAAGAUUUAUGAACUUCUAAAUUUAGAAAAGUCAUUUUACUCUUGCUAGUGUAUUGUAGGCUCUUGUGCAAGAGUCAGUAAGAAAAAAAAAUCUAAGUUACUUCCUCUGUGAGAGCAUGUACAAGUAGCAUAAAAUAGGUUCAAUUAAUCUUUUCAGCCACUGAGUUUACUCUGGAUAAACAAAGCAUGUAUCAAAUUGUAUGUCCUAGAAAGGUAAUCAACCUUACAAAAUGUUUCACAGUUCUGCUUUUCUCAUUAUUGUAUUGCAGAUAGUUUUCUGAAUGGAAAAACCGUUCAAGCAAAAUGUUAAAUAGCAUUCAUUUGUCAUUUUCCUGCACAGACCAGGCGGCAUCCUGCUGGAUCUCAACAUACGUAGUCAUUAUGAAGUUUGCUGUUCAUCCUUUUUUGCUCUUUUUUCUCAUGUCGUGUUCUUUUGUGAUGGAUAAUUUCCAGAAUGCCUGCUUCAGUUGGUACAGGCCAAUUGAUUGCUACAGAGCAGUGAUGGAAGACAGUGCUGGUGUACAGUCAGAAAACAGCUGAGUGCAGGAAACAGCCAGCACCACAAUGAAGAUUGCCAAAGAACAAAUUGCUGUCAAAGAAUAAUACCCCCAUGUUCCACAGGCCAAGCUGGUGAAUAAUGAUCUCAUCUCCUACACAGCACUGAGAAGACAUGCUGAAAUCGUAUGCAACAUAUUACCUGUGUUGUAACCACAGCUGCCAGAGAGAUAGUUUUUUUAUAAAACUGCCUUGUUGUCACCAAUUAGAGAUUAUCAUGAUCAGUGCCAGUUCCUUAGGUAUUUCCUUCAGCAAUAUUAACAUCAUUUAGAAAAUGAAGGUUAGCCUUUACUCAUGCACAACUACCAUAUCAAUUGUUUUGAGUCCUGCCAUCUCCUCACGCCAUGUCAGCAGGCUGCUGGAUUUCUAAACUCAAAGAACAUAUCUGGAGUGAGCUUGAGUCAGGUGUGAAUAUUUAGGAGAGUGGAGAAGUAGUGUUGAAGAAUAUAUUUGGUCCAGGUAGCACAGUGUGAGCACAGGGUGAGCUCUCAGGGCAGGGGUCCAAGCUCACUGAUCCUUUCAUGACAAAGGGCCUGGAGACCUGUAGCUGAGCAAGGGAGAUACCAGAGGAGCCAACAAUUCCAGGCUUUCCCAUGUGUCCCAUCCCGCUGUAAAAGGGGAAUUGGGGAGGAUUAUUUUGAUAGAUUUCUCUGAUGAAAAUGAAGAGCAAACACAACAAUACUAUAUCUGAGAACUAUUUGUUGAUAAAGAAAGAUAAGUGAUCCUUAUGUUUUUGUUACUGCUGAACAGUGCUUGCACAGAGCCAAGGCCUUUGCUGCUCCUCACCUACCCCACCAGUGAGGAGGCUGAAGGAAGGAGGCUGCACAAGGAAUUGUGAGGGGACACAACUGACCCAAGGGACAUCUCAGUGCCAUACCUUACAGUGCCAUGCUUAGCACACAAAUUUGGGGAGGGAAGAGGAAGGAAAGGGAGUUUGGAGUCAUGGCAUUUUUCUUCCCAAGUCAUCCUUACGCAUGAUGGGGCCCUGCUCUCCUGGAGAUGGUGAACACCUGCCUGCCUAUGCAGUGAAUGAUUUCCUUGAUUUGCUUUGCUCCUGUGUGUGACUUUUACUUUCCCUUUUAAACUGUCUUUAUCUCAACCCAGGUGUCCCAUCCUGCCAUAAAAGGGGAGUUGAGGAGGAUUAUUGCUAGAUUUCUUGGACGAAAAUAAAGUGCAAACACAGCAGUAUUAUAUCUGAGAGCUGUUUAUUGGUAAAGAGUUAUUGGUAAAGAAGAUAAAAUCUGGAAUAAAAGCCCAGGGGUUCCCUUGUUUUGGGUCUCUCCUUGGAGGCAGCAGCUUGAGCUGAUGAUUUGUUUUUUAGUUAUUGUACCAAGAAGGUGUGUACGUCUGAGACUCUGCUAUGGGAAACCUGAGGUCUGUCAACACAGCAAGGAAAUGUGUUGUGACUGUGUAAGUGUGGCCGAAAGGGUGUAUCUUGGAAUAUCCUGGUCCCAGCUCAGGUGGUGCGAGAGUGACUGGCUCCUGCAUGGUCAGACUGGGAAGUUUCCAUAACAGUAGGAAGGAACAUUUCUUUUGCACACCAUGGUCAAAAGUGGUCAUGGAAAAGGAAACAUCUUUUUCAGAAGGUGAACCACACUUUCCUGAACAAAGUGUUCUGAAGGUUUUAUUAGAUCAGGUGGAUUUAGGAUGAAUGAUGGUCUCAUUUUUAACUGACUGCCUUGGUCUAUGUGCCCUAUUAAGUGUUCACCCUAUGAAUGCUGUGCUGUUUCAUGUGAUUCUAGAUGGAUACCACUUCUAGCUGAGUAGAAGUUAUAUACUUACCACAGAAGAUCUGGGCUUCAUUACAAGAAUUAACUUGUUACAGUUCGGGAGUUUAAGUCAUCUCUCUGCAUCCCAGAGCUUGGGAUAAAGAGUAAUAACCAGCAAAGCCCCACUUCUUAGUGGGAGAUCAUAGGUUCUUCUGCAAGUUCUAUGUAUGCAGAGUGCUUAAACAGUGGUCUUAAAAGUAUAAAAUGACAAUUCAUAGUCUAAGCUCUGAUGUUUCCCAAAAUAGGUUACAUAAACUCCAUGAGAAAAGUUUGUGGUAUCCUGGGCAUCUGCAGCACAAGAACAUCCCGAGACAGUUAUGAAAUGAAAAUAGGGAAUAACUGUUGUAGGUACAUCACCCUGCCUGGACUUUUUAUUUAAUAGCGUUCUUCAGUUAUGUAGAUGUAUUUGUUUACACUUAGGCACAGUAUUCCUGAAAGGACAGUGGAGAUAACAUGCAUGGAACUUCUUCCUCCCUGUUGAAACAUCAUAAAGAAGCUCAUAAGUAAUAAAUGGCUAAGAGCUCUAGAGCUCUCUUUUUUCCUCUGA